AGUAGUAGGUGGUGGCUCAUUGUCGUGUCUAGGGCUCUGAUACGUGGGAUGGGAACAUUUAUAUUAUUUUAUUGUUGUUUUCCUCCUAUGUAUCAAUUUUUGGAACUUGAUGAUGUGGCCCUUUGUUGGUUGACUUUUGUUGUUUAGGCUUAAUGCCAGGAUAUUGUUGGAGAUUUAAAUCGUUGUGGUUGUUAUUGAAAUGCAAAACUUUCCGCUGCAUAAUUAUUGAAGUUAUGAAUGAUGUUGAAUUAAAUAGUUUUAUUUUCUAUUUAAGAAUUUUGAAUUUGCAAUGUAGCAUGCCCGUUGUGGAAUUACUCUGAUGUUUAUAUGUUAUUUUAUUGCUUUUGGGUAACGG
rnacentral:lncRNA from 1 species